CCUCCCCUUCCUUACUCCAGCCACUCUGACUCGGUGAUGUGGUCUGGCAUUGAUGGGGAGAUAUGAACCGCUCCACUGCACACUUUCACUGUCAGUCAGUGCAGGAUUAGCGGUGGAGCGAACAUG